UACGAAGGGGGCUAGCGUUGCUCGGAAUCACUGGGCGUAAAGCGCACGUAGGCGGCUUUUUAAGUCAGGGGUGAAAUCCUGAAGCUCAACUCCAGAACUGCCUUUGAUACUGAGAAGCUUGAGUCCGGGAGAGGUGAGUGGAACUGCGAGUGUAGAGGUGAAAUUCGUAGAUAUUCGCAAGAACACCAGUGGCGAAGGCGGCUCACUGGCCCGGUACUGACGCUGAGGUGCGAAAGCGUGGGGAGCAAACAGG
rnacentral:rRNA from 1 species